GGGUCGAUGGCGUAGUCGGUUAUCGCAUCUGUCUUACAUUGUCAUGUCCACAGAAGGUCCUCAGUUCGAGCCUGGGUCGACUCA